rnacentral:lncRNA from 1 species
UAUAUAUAUGUAUGGUCUUUACGUGUAGGGAAUUUAAUCUGUUAACCAGCAUGUUGUGUCAAUUUCCAUCAAUUCCUUGGGGGUCCAUUUGGAUGGAGGGAUUUGGGGAGGGAUUUGAUUUGGGGAAUGGAUUUGAAAUGACUCCAAUUUUGGAGUCAUUUGAAAUCCAUCACUAUUGCUCCAAAAUCAACUAAAAAGGAGGGGUGGGGAUUUGAAAUCCAUCUCCAAAUCCCUCAAUCCAAACAAGUCCGAGGGAUUUGUUAUUAUGGAUUUGAAAUCCCUCCCCCAAAUCCCUCCAUCCAAAUGCACCCUGGUAUUAUUACAUUAAUUGAGCUAAUGGAAUGUAUUAAUUUGUUUCUGGCAAAUAUAACCAAUCAUGUUAUGGAGAGCUCGAUUGAUAUGUUGGCGAGGAUUGUGUGGGACCCAAUUUUCAAUGUAG